rnacentral:rRNA from 1 species
GACGAACGCUGGCGGCGUGCCUAAUACAUGCAAGUCGAACGGAAAGGCCCUGCUCUUGUGGGGUGCUCGAGUGGCGAACGGGUGAGUAACACGCGAGUAACCUGUCCCUGACUUUGGGAUAACUCCAGGAAACUGGGGCUCAUACCGGAUAGGAGCUCUUGCUGCACGGUGGGGGUUGGAAAGUUUCGGCGGUUGGGGAUGGACUCGCGGCUUAUCAGCUUGUUGGUGGGGUAGUGGCUUACCAAGGCUUUGACGGGUAGCCGGCCUGAGAGGGUGACCGGCCACAUUGGGACUGAGAUACGGCCCAGACUCCUACGGGAGGCAGCGGUGGAGAAUAUUGCACAAUGGGCGGAAGCCUGAUGCAGCAACGCCGGGUGCGGGAUGACGGCCUUCGGGUUGUAAACCGCUUUCGCCUGUGACGAAGCGUGAGUGACGGUAAUGGGUAAAGAAGCACCGGCUAACUACGUG